AGUGAACGCUGGCGGUAGGCCUAACACAUGCAAGUCGAACGGCAGCACAGUAAGAGCUUGCUCUUACGGGUGGCGAGUGGCGGACGGGUGAGGAAUACAUCGGAAUCUACUUUUUCGUGGGGGAUAACGUAGGGAAACUUACGCUAAUACCGCAUACGACCUACGGGUGAAAGCAGUGGAUCUUCGGACCUUGCGCGAUUGAAUGAGCCGAUGUCGGAUUAGCUAGUUGGCGGGGUAAAGGCCCACCAAGGCGACGAUCCGUAGCUGGUCUGAGAGGAGGAUAAGCCACACUGGAACUGAGACACGGUCCAGACUCCUACGGUAGGCAGCAGUGGGGAAUAUUGGACAAUGGGCGCAAGCCUGAUCCAGCCAUACCGCGUGGGUGAAGAAGGCCUUCGGGUUGUAAAGACCUUUUGUUGGGAAAGAAAAGCAGCAGGUUAAUACCCCGCUGUUCUGACGGUACCCAAAGAAUAAGCACCGGCUAACUUCGUG
rnacentral:rRNA from 1 species